rnacentral:rRNA from 1 species
UACGUAGGGUGCGAGCGUUGUCCGGAAUUAUUGGGCGUAAAGAGCUUGUAGGCGGUUUGUCGCGUCUGCUGUGAAAUCUCAAGGCUCAACCUUGAGCUUGCAGUGGGUACGGGCAGACUAGAGUGUGGUAGGGGAGACUGGAAUUCCCGGUGUAGCGGUGAAAUGUGUAGAGAUCGGGAGGAACACCGGUGGCGAAGGCGGGUCUCUGGGCAAUUCCUGACGCUGAGGCGCGAAAGCGUGGGGAGCAAACGGG